rnacentral:rRNA from 1 species
UACGAACCGUACAAACGUUAUUCGGAAUCACUGGGCUUAAAGGGUGCGUAGGCGGCCAUGUAAGUGGGGUGUGAAAUCCCUCGGCUCAACCGAGGAACUGCGCUCCAUACUGCAUGGCUUGAGGGAGACAGGGGUAAGCGGAACUGAUGGUGGAGCGGUGAAAUGCGUUGAUAUCAUCAGGAACACCGGUGGCGAAAGCGGCUUACUGGGUCUCUUCUGACGCUGAGGUACGAAAGCUAGGGGAGCGAAC